rfam:Chlorella variabilis unplaced genomic scaffold CHLNCscaffold_11, whole genome shotgun sequence.
AAACUGGUGUUAUUCAACACCACCCACCCACUCGGAAAGUCAUGU